ACGCUGGCGGUAUGCUUAACACAUGCAAGUCGAACGGAAACGAAACUAGCUUGCUAGUAGGCGUCGAGUGGCGGACGGGUGAGUAACGCGUAGGAAUCUGCCUGAUAGUGGGGGAUAGCCCGAAGAAAUUCGGAUUAAUACCGCAUAAUCUAUUCGUAGUAAAGUGGGGGACUUUCGAGCCUCACGCUAUCAGAUGAGCCUGCGUAAGAUUAGCUUGUUGGUAGGGUAAAAGCCUACCAAGGCAACGAUCUUUAGCUGGUCUGAGAGGAUGAUCAGCCACAUCGGGACUGAGACACGGCCCGAACUCCUACGGGAGGCAGCAGUGGGGAAUAUUGGACAAUGGGGGCAACCCUGAUCCAGCAAUACCGCGUGUGUGAAGAAGGCUUGAGGGUUGUAAAGCACUUUCAAUUGUGAAGAAAAGUUAACGGUUAAUAACCGUUAACCUUGACGUUAACUUUAUAAGAAGCACCGGCUAACUCCGUGCCAGCAGCCGCGGUAAUACGGAGGGUGCAAGCGUUAAUCGGAAUUACUGGGCGUAAAGCGUGCGUAGGCGGUUUAUUAAGUCAGAUGUGAAAGCCCCGGGCUUAACCUGGGAACUGCAUUUGAAACUGGUCAACUAGAGUAUGGUAGAGGAAAGUGGAAUUUCUGGUGUAGCGGUGAAAUGCGUAGAUAUCAGAAGGAACAUCAAUGGCGAAGGCAGCUUUCUGGACCAAUACUGACGCUGAGGUACGAAAGCGUGGGUAGCAAACAGGAUUAGAUACCCUGGUAGUCCACGCCGUAAACGAUGAUAACUAGCCGUUGGGGGGAUUUACCCCUUAGUGGCGAAGCUAACGCGUUAAGUUAUCCGCC
rnacentral:rRNA from 1 species